rnacentral:lncRNA from 1 species
UCACCUAGUAUAUUAAGCGGAGGGAGAGAGAGCUUUUCCGACACAUACACAGAGCUCGGACAAGUCAGUAGUCGUUGCCUGAGUAGACAAGUCGACAUCUCCAAACCAGACAACUCGUUGGAACCAUCACCAGUCAGAAUGUGUAAACUAUCCGUGGUGAGCGCAUGCGCUAUGCUUAUGACCUUGACCCUCGCAGUUCCAGUUCCGGAAAGUGACUCCGGACUGAACGACCUGACAACUGUAGUCCCGCCUGAAUAUUCAACCACUGCAAUCCCAGAAGGUGAGGAAGCGGCCACAGAAGUGACCAGUGAGGAGGCUGUGGAGCUGCCUCCCCUGGAGGCCCGGAGUGGACUGUUCCAGACUCUGAUCGCCGCCAACGUCCUGAGGAACUUGGGAGCUUUCAACAACAACAACGGGGUUUUCGGGGGAGGGAUCAACACGCAGGCAAUUUUGCAAUACUAUAUCCUCAACAGACUCGUGGGAUAGAACUGAAGCAGGGGCCACCUGCCCACGCGGAAGAGCCAGCUCACUUAAGGAGAGUCUCCAGAGAGAGAGAGAGAAAGAGAGAGAGAGAGAGAGAGAGAGAGAGAGAGAGAGAGAGAGAGAGAGAGAGAGAGAGAGACAUUUGUGAAAAUAUAGUUUAAAAUAAAUCUUCCUGGCUUCAACAG